GCAAACUUGGUCAUUUAGAGGAAGUAAAAGUCGUAACAAGGUUUCCGUAGGUGAACCUGCGGAAGGAUCAUUCACAAUAAGUGUUUAAUGGCACUUUUAAAAAUCCAUUACCCACCUUGUGUGCAUUGUAGAUGGGAAAGAGGGGACUCGUUUCUUCUUUUCCGUCAUUUACAUACCAUUUUAUCUUGAAAUUUGUCUACAAUUUGAGUAAUAAAAAAAAACUCGAAUACAACUUUCAACAACGGAUCUCUUGGCUCUCGCAUCGAUGAAGAACGCAGC
rnacentral:misc_RNA from 1 species